GGAGUGAAGAAGACGAAGCUGAUCAACGUCAACAAACAUUAAGUCACCUGAAAACACAGAAACACGACAGGUGAGACCAGAGGACAGGUGAGACCAGAGAACAGGUGAGACCAGAGGACAGGUGAGACCAGAGGACAGGUGAGACCAGAGGACAGGUGAGACCAGAGAACAGGUGAGACCAGAGAACAGGUGAGACCAGAGGACAGGUGAGACCAGAGGACAGGUGAGACCAGAGGACAGGUGAGACCAGAGAACAGGUGAGACCAGAGAACAGGUGAGACCAGAGGACAGGUGAGACCAGAGAACAGGUGAGACCAGAGGACAGGUGAGACCAGAGAACAGGUGAGACCAGAGGACAGGUGAGACCAGAGAACAGGUGAGACCAGAGGACAGGUGAGACCAGAGAACAGGUGAGACCAGAGGACAGGUGAGACCAGAGGACAGGUGAGACCAGAGGACAGGUGAGACCAGAGAACAGGUGAGUGAACAGGGAAGUUGGAGGUGGUGACUCCAGUCCAGUAGCCUGGUUACCUGGUAAACUGGUUACUACCUAGUUACCUGGUAAUCUGGUUACCUGGUUACCUGCUACAGAGACUGCUUUAAAGUUUGCUGUGAGAUGAGGGCAGGUGAAGCAUCACCUGACACCAGGUGAGAAAUGAAACCAUAAAAGGACUUCC